UACAGAGGGUGCGAGCGUUAAUCGGAAUUACUGGGCGUAAAGCGUGCGUAGACGGUUAUGUAAGUCGGGUGUGAAAGCCCCGGGCUCAACCUGGGAAUGCCAUUCGAGACUGCAUAGCUAGGGUGCGGAAGAGGGAAGCGGAAUUUCCGGUGUAGCGGUGAAAUGCGUAGAUAUCGGAAGGAACACCAGUGGCGAAAGCGGCUUCCUGGUCCAGCACCGACGUUCAGGCACGAAAGCGUGGGGAGCAAACAGG
rnacentral:rRNA from 1 species